rfam:Salmo salar isolate Sally breed double haploid chromosome ssa12, whole genome shotgun sequence.
UGGCUCAGUUGGUAGAGCAUGGUGUUUGCAACGCCAGGGUCGUGGGUUCGAUUCCCAC